rnacentral:rRNA from 1 species
UACAGAGGUCUCAAGCGUUGCUCGGAUUCAUUGGGCGUAAAGGGUGCGUAGGCGGCGCGGUAAGUCGGGUGUGAAAUCUCGGAGCUUAACUCCGAAACUGCAUUCGAUACUGCCGUGCUUGAGGACUGGAGAGGAGACUGGAAUUUACGGUGUAGCGGUGAAAUGCGUAGAUAUCGUAAGGAAGACCAGUGGCGAAGGCGGGUCUCUGGACAGUUCCUGACGCUGAGGCACGAAGGUCAGGGGGAGCAAACGGG